rnacentral:rRNA from 1 species
CGCACACGCCGCGUGAGGAUGAAAUCCCUUGGGAUGUAAACUCCUUUCGAUCGGGACGAUUAUGACGGUACCGGAAGAAGAAGCCCCGGCUAACUUCGUGCAGCAGCGCGUAUACGAGGGGGGCAAGCGUUGUUCGGAAUUAUUGGGCGUAAAGGGAGCGUAGCGGUUUUGUAAGUCGUGUGUGAAAUCUUCGGGCUCAACCCGAAGUCUGCACACGAAACUGCAGGGCUUGAGUUAUUGGGAGAG